UACGUAGGCAGCGAGCGUUGUUCGGAGUUACUGGGCGUAAAGCGCACGUAGGCGGAUUGUUAAGUCGGGGGUGAAAUCCUGGAGCUCAACUCCAGAACUGCCUUCGAUACUGGCGAUCUCGAGUUCGGGAGAGGUGAGUGGAACUGCGAGUGUAGAGGUGAAAUUCGUAGAUAUUCGCAAGAACACCAGUGGCGAAGGCGGCUCACUGGCCCGAUACUGACGCUGAGGUGCGAAAGCGUGGGGAGCAAACAGG
rnacentral:rRNA from 1 species